GGUCGGUUAGCCAAGCGGUUAGGUACCGGUCUGCAAAACCGUUUAGAGCGGUUCGACUCCGCUACCGACCU
rnacentral:tRNA from 1 species